UGAUCUGUGGUGUAAUGGGCAACACACGAGAUUUUGGUUCUCGUAUUGGAGGUUCGAACCCUUCCAGAUCAA
rnacentral:tRNA from 1 species